UCUUCCCUCUUCCCUCCUGCUUCCCCCCUGCACGUCUUUGGCGAAUCUGUGCUUGCACCGGCUAGCCAAGGCGGACGGGUGAGUAACGCGUAAAGAACUUGCCCUGCAGACAGGGAUAACAGACGGAAACGACUGAUAACACCUGAUACAGUUGCCGGCACGCAUGUGCCUGGCAAUGAAAAGAGAUGCUGCAGGAGAGCUUUGCGUCCUAUUAGCUUGUUGGUGAGGUGACGGCUCACCAAGGCGAUGAUAUGUAGCCGGCCUGAGAGGGUGAACGGCCACAAGGGGACUGAGAUACGGCCCUUACUCCUACGGGAGGCAGCAGUGGGGAAUAUUGGACAAUGGGGGCAACCCUGAUCCAGCAAUUCUGUGUGCACGAAGAAGGGUUUCGGAUUGUAAAGUGCUUUCAGCAGGGAAGAAGAAAGUGACGGUACCUGCAGAAGAAGCGACGGCUAAAUACGUG
rnacentral:rRNA from 1 species